rnacentral:rRNA from 1 species
GAUGAACGCUGGCGGCGCGCCUAAUACAUGCAAGUCGAGCGAACGGACGAGAAGCUUGCUUCUCUGAUGUUAGCGGCGGACGGGUGAGUAACACGUGGAUAACCUACCUAUAAGACUGGGAUAACUUCGGGAAACCGGAGCUAAUACCGGAUAAUAUUUUGAACCGCAUGGUUCAAAAGUGAAAGACGGUCUUGCUGUCACUUAUAGAUGGAUCCGCGCUGCAUUAGCUAGUUGGUAAGGUAACGGCUUACCAAGGCAACGAUGCAUAGCCGACCUGAGAGGGUGAUCGGCCACACUGGAACUGAGACACGGUCCAGACUCCUACGGGAGGCAGCAGUAGGGAAUCUUCCGCAAUGGGCGAAAGCCUGACGGAGCAACGCCGCGUGAGUGAUGAAGGUCUUCGGAUCGUAAAACUCUGUUAUUAGGGAAGAACAUAUGUGUAAGUAACUGUGCACAUCUUGACGGUACCUAAUCAGAAAGCCACGGCUAACUACGUGCCAGCAGCCGCGGUAAUACGUAGGUGGCAAGCGUUAUCCGGAAUUAUUGGGCGUAAAGCGCGCGUAGGCGGUUUUUUAGUCUGAUGUGAAAGCCCACGGCUCAACCGUGGAGGGUCAUUGGAAACUGGAAAACUUGAGUGCAGAAGAGGAAAGUGGAAUUCCAUGUGUAGCGGUGAAAUGCGCAGAGAUAUGGAGGAACACCAGUGGCGAAGGCGACUUUCUGGUCUGUAACUGACGCUGAUGUGCGAAAGCGUGGGGAUCAAACAGGAUUAGAUACCCUGGUAGUCCACGCCGUAAACGAUGAGUGCUAAGUGUUAGGGGGUUUCCGCCCCUUAGUGCUGCAGCUAACGCAUUAAGCACUCCGCCUGGGGAGUACGACCGCAAGGUUGAAACUCAAAGGAAUUGACGGGGACCCGCACAAGCGGUGGAGCAUGUGGUUUAAUUCGAAGCAACGCGAAGAACCUUACCAAAUCUUGACAUCCUUUGACAACUCUAGAGAUAGAGCUUUCCCCUUCGGGGGACAAAGUGACAGGUGGUGCAUGGUUGUCGUCAGCUCGUGUCGUGAGAUGUUGGGUUAAGUCCCGCAACGAGCGCAACCCUUAAGCUUAGUUGCCAUCAUUAAGUUGGGCACUCUAAGUUGACUGCCGGUGACAAACCGGAGGAAGGUGGGGAUGACGUCAAAUCAUCAUGCCCCUUAUGAUUUGGGCUACACACGUGCUACAAUGGACAAUACAAAGGGCAGCGAAACCGCGAGGUCAAGCAAAUCCCAUAAAGUUGUUCUCAGUUCGGAUUGUAGUCUGCAACUCGACUACAUGAAGCUGGAAUCGCUAGUAAUCGUAGAUCAGCAUGCUACGGUGAAUACGUUCCCGGGUCU